GUUUGACUGGGAGAUCUUCAUCCAGUAACCACUUGAGCACUUUUAUUCUCCCCCUGCCUUAUAGUCCAGCAGUCCACUUAGUCAGUCAUUUGAUUUCCCAGCUGCAUUACUAAAAAUAAAUGGAUGAAAAGAAAACUUUUCUUGGCAGGAUGCUUGACAUUUUGUCUUCUCGAAGGCUUUCUGAUGUGCUUACUGAGAAAUGGCGUCGGCAGGGUGGACCUCCGGAAAGCCUCUCUCCUUGGGGCCACCCCUUUCCGCAGUGCCAGUCUCAAGGAAACAUUUCUGAGUGACUCACAUGUGACUUCUGGUUUUCAUCCAUGGUUGAACAUGAGCUUCUCUUACUUCUUGUUGGAUAUAAGCUGAUUGAUUUCACCUGUGAAGUCAUAACUAAAUAUCCCUUGUUGGAUUCCGUGUAAGCAAGCUUUAACUCUCCUAUCCAGUAGCGUCAGUGUGUCUUGGGGCUAAACAGCUGAGCCCUUGACACUUUAUGUCCCUGACCAUGCCCCUUAUUUUCUAUUCCAGGUUCUUGCCUAAAAAAUAAAAAAAAUACUUCUUCAUAUAGCAGUGUAUUACUGAUCAACCCAUCCAAUGGAUCAACUGCAAGGAGCUACAAAAAAAUGUGUUUCAAAGGGUUUAUUUUUAUUUUUUAUUUUUUAUUUUUUUUGGUUUUUCUCCGGUACCGGGAACCGAACUCAUGACCUUGCGCUUGCCAGGCAGGCGCUUUGCCGCUGAGCUAAAUCCCCAGCCCCUCAAAGGGUUUAUUAAUAAGAGACUAAGGGAUAAAGAAGUUCACUCCAGGGCUCUUAAUCCAGCACCUUUCAUAAGCACUAAGUUUAUUGAAGCUAAAUAACAAUAGCAUGUGACAGAUUAUAUUUGUAUGGGAAAUCACAGAGAAAACAGCAAAGACACUGUAAAUUGAAUUUUUUUUCAGAUAAUGAAAGGUUCUACUGUAUAGCCAAGCUACAGUCUAUUACAACAAGUCAUUGAUUACUGCUCCAGCCACCCUCAUUUCUAAUUCCAUUGGUGAAAUAAAUGACAGCCUUUGAGUUUGUCACUUUCUUGAUAUGCAGCAAUAAGAAUGGUGAAUUACUCUAGCAUUUAGAAUAGCCAAGCUGAUAAGUGUCCUUCCUCUUUGGCAUCGCAUGCUGCAAAGCUUUAAGUAGCAAUAAGUGUAAUAGCCAUCUUCUCCAACAUGUGCUACCAGCAGUUCUUGGGAAGGCUGAAGAUGCUCAAAUUCAAGCUGUUCUCGCCAUUCACCCUGUGGUGAGCUGCAGCCGUGGGCCACCCCACACGGUUACUGUCCCCACUCAGCUUGGGCAGAAGUUGGUUUCCUCCAGGACUCCGCUGAAGCCAACGGUUGUAAUUCAAAUGACAGCAUCGCAAGUGUCCUGAAAACCAACUGCCUUGUAUUUCUAGGUGCAUGUGUUGUAAUGGCUGUCAAAGAGAAACAACCCGGCAGGUUAUCUGGCUUCCCCAUCUUCUCCAGGUGUAAUGCAGUCAUUCAUUUUGCUCACUCUCUCUCUGUGCUUCAACCCGGGGGAGACCACAAACUGAAAAGUACACACUAAUCUAUUUUUGCUUUCUGUUGGUCUGUUUGUGGGAGUAAUUGUUUCACACUCAGUGAACCACAAAUGAGUGUCUGUGUGUAUAAGAACUUUUUAAGAGAGUAGAGGGGCUAUAUUCUUUAUGUGUUAGGGUAUGAGCACUCUAUAUGUGUAGGAAGAUGUAUGUAUGAGUGUAUUUGCCACAUUAUUCACAAAUAGUUUCAUUCUUAAUUCUGGGGGGGUGUAGUUCAUAUUGAAUUUGUUUUAAUUGAAGCCCAUUACUAGUAGAACUACUCUGAGGUUGACCUAAAUCUUUUCUCCAGGUGUUCACAGUACUGAUUUGCAUAACUAAUCCCCUCUUCCCUGCUCCCCAAAGAGUGCACAGGGCAUUGUCAGAGAGACUACUUUCUAAAAUUUCUCAAGGAUGGUAUAUAACUAAGACAUUUCCAGAUAUAUGGGAAAGAAGUUAAUUCAUUACAUACAAGCAUGCCCCGUGGGAAACUGCAAGACCAUAGGUGCAAGUGUACACACAUACACACACACAUACACACACACACUACACACGGUGUACUAAAAUAUGGUACCCAGUGCAUGAACAUGCGAACUUUCUGGGGCAGGCCAAUUUUCAAGCAUUACUAUGAUUGCAGUUUUUUUGUUUGAGAAGCCCUCUGUGAAGCUCAGGUUACAACUUCUAUGUGUCUCCAAUUAUUGAUAUUUUCUUUUCCAACCUUUCUCUUAUAGCAGGAAAAUAGGUUUUCUAUGAGGCAGCCCAUGAGUCUGCCCUGCCAUAGAGUAUGGAGUCCCUGACUGUAACCAAGGUCUCAAGAGAAAUAUUCUGUAACUGGAUUAAACUUAAACUAUUGGCAUGCGGUUUUUCUAUGUGGUUUACCAGGACAUGCAAUAUUUUGAGAGCAUAAAAAAAUUGCUGACCAGUCACUGAUAACAAGUGUAACUCGGUAAAAUGAAAUAAUAUAAGGGGCAAUCACAUAUGAUCUUGGUACAGCAGAUCACUGGCCAGAGGCAGACAGGAAUCGCUUCCUCGAGCAGAAUGAUGUUAUGCAAGAACCAGAAUUUGUGGAGGAGCCUGGAAGUCCCUAAGUUCUUGCCCAGAGCAGGAGGUCUUGCAUAGGACAGUCAGGUAGAGUUGGAGGAGGCUCUGCCUUUGGUACUUUCUGAGCACGCAGGCAGAUUUAUAUCUGACCCUCUGUGCUGGGGAGGACUGUGUUGUUAUUUCUCUGACUUGCCCCCUUGUUGGUCUUACUCAAAAGUUGGUGACAGUGGUGAUGAAAUGCACUGUACCCCUCAGACUCAUACUCUUUUGCCUUUGACCCUGAUGUUUGGUUAUAUGAGAUAUUAUUUUCUGAACAAAAUCAGACACUAUAUAAUAUUUUGCAUUUUUCUCAGACAGAAAAAUAGAACAGAUACUGUGAUACCCUAGCUGCUGUUUUUUUGUUUUUUUUUUUUUGUUUGUUUUUCUCCGGUACCGGGAACCGAACUCACGACCUUGCGCUUGCCAGGCAGGUGCUUUUGCUGCUGAGCUAAAUCCCCAGCCCCCUAGCUGCUGUUAUUCUGAAAUAUAUGGAAUAGUUCUGUAGAUUUACUUCUUUACCUUAACUCUGUCUACCUUAAACCAGUCUUUCUCAGCCUGGAUUCCUCAAAUGAUGACAAAACCGCGUUGUUCGUGUGAAGACUUUCUAAAUUUUUCUAUAGAUGGUAAGUAAUUAAGAUGCUUCUAAAUGUCUUGGAAUGAAGUUAAUUCACUGCAUAAAAGGAUGUCCUAUGGAAAACUGUAAGCCCACGGGCUGAUACAGAGUUAUCCAAUGCACAUUUUAACUUUCUGUGUCCUAUAGCCUAUGUUACCAUCACCUAUUGAAGCGUGAAAGCAUUUAGUACACAGACCCCCAUUUGUC
rnacentral:lncRNA from 1 species